CACGUAGGCACCAAGCGUUGUCCGGAUUUAUUGGGCGUAAAGAGCUCGUAGGCGGUUCGGUAAGUCGGGUGUGAAAACUUUGGGCUCAACCCAAAGCCUGCACCCGAUACUGCUGUGACUCGAGUCCGGUAGGGGAGUGGGGAAUUCCUGGUGUAGCGGUGAAAUGCGCAGAUAUCAGGAGGAACACCAAUGGCGAAGGCAGCUCGCUGGAACGGUACUGACGCUGAGGCGCGAAAGCGUGGGGAGCGAACAGG
rnacentral:rRNA from 1 species